UUUAUAUUCCUAGAGAGCUCAACAUAGAGGCCGAUGCUCUAGCUAAAGGAGGCCUGCAUAGAGCUUUAUCAGCUUCAUAUUGGGAGUUAUGAUUAUUACGCUAAAGAUAUGGACUAGGGGAAAUCUUCUUGGAUGGAGAUUUAGAUUGUAAGGUCAUCUCAGCAUGGUUCUGAAUGAAAUAGCGAGGAGGCGACUAGAGUGAACAAGCAUGGAUGGUAAUACAGUGCUAUAUAGUUUAUGUAUUUGGGUGGUUAGUGGUGCUCAUAUAUGAGCAUCCAUUUUCUGGGAACUAGUUUAUCUUUAUUCUCGGGCUCAAGUUGGUUGUAGAGUCUGCCUUGAGUCAGGGCCGGCUCAACACUAAGGCGAGCUAAGCGGUCGCUUAGGACCCCAACCCUAAAAAGGGGCUCAAAAUUUUUCAUAAGUUUUACAUUAUUAUAUAUUAUGUGUUUUC
rnacentral:lncRNA from 1 species